rnacentral:rRNA from 1 species
UACGUAGGGGGCAAGCGUUGUCCGGAUUUAUUGGGCGUAAAGGGCUCGUAGGCGGCCAACUAAGUCAGACGUGAAAUCCCUCAGCUUAACUGGGGAACUGCGUCUGAUACUGGAUGGCUUGGAUCCGGGAGAGGGAUGCGGAAUUCCAGGUGUAGCGGUGAAAUGCGUAGAUAUCUGGAGGAACACCGGUGGCGAAGGCGGCAUCCUGGACCGGUAUUGACGCUGAGAUACGAAAGCGUGGGGAGCAAACAGG